CUGUAACAACAAAAAUGGAGACGACACAACUUGGAAGAGAAAUCAACUCGAAAUAGCCAAGAGAAUGUUCGAAAACCCCCUCAAAUCCGAUGCUUCCUUUGAUUCCAACCUCCAAAAGCCCAUCUGCUCAAAUCUUCAUUUCGAGGACGAGGACUCGAGGAGUAUUACAAGGAUAGUGAAAGCUGAAGAGUGGGCAGAGUUUAUGGAGUUUCAGAGUUUUUUUGACUAAGUGGCCUCUGUUUUUGAUUCUUCAGUGGUCAAUUUUGUGAUGGGAUUUGAUUGAAAUUGGAGAAUGGUUUCAUGAAAUCUCCUCUUCGGGCUGAGGUUGAUUCAUGACUCUUUCAUUUUUCUAGUGUCUCAUUGAUGAUAGACAUAAGAAGCACCAUUGCUGAAUCAUAUUGUUUGGCACAGUUCUAGUUGACCAUCCACAAGUGGAAUAGUUGGGAUGAUAAAGAAGCUUGGAAACUAAAGAUUCUCACUUUCACUAGUGAAUAAUACAUUCAUUUUUAAAAACGUUUUUUGUUCUGUUGUUUUAUUUCUUUCUAUAAUAUUUUACAAGUUACCGAAGCUGAAGAAGAAUGUUGUAACAAGUGA
rnacentral:misc_RNA from 1 species